UUAAAUACCAAUUAUUUCAGUUCAAAAUGUUCAACCUCUGGAUAAUGGUAUUUUUUAUACAGGCUGUAGCUGGUGAUCGGAACACGAUUUACAAAAGAGAAUUGGUAGAUGAAGAGCAUUGGCAGGGAUUACCUGGACGGGAAGUUAUUAACACCAGAACUGAAGUACAGUGUGCUGUCUUUGCCAAUCUGAAGGCUGAUCUCCGAAAUGCAAUCAGAUUCAGUGCUGGAGUAUGUGAGGUUGGUUGGCUGAACUCACCCCCUCCUCAGUCAACUAGUUCAGUUAUUGACGUGAAAGUGAGAAUGAGCUUGAUGUGGAGGUAGUGUAAUGUGCUCAUUCCAAGAAUCAGAUAUAUGUGAACGGAGCAGCAAACUUAUUCACAAUCCUUUCCAGUUUUUUAAAUGGGACAUUGAUGGUAAAAAUGGAGUAUAUUUACCAAGAUCCAGUGCUGAAGAAUGCCAACAGAUUUGUGACAAUACCUUAGAUUGUGUGGGUUGGGUUUGGAAUUCUGCUAAUACAGUCUGCUAUCCUAAACUAGAAGGCACUUUGAAUGUAUACAUUUCUAACAAGUACAGGCAAG
rnacentral:misc_RNA from 1 species